GCUUGUUCAAAGUCAAAAAAUAAAAAUUUUGGUACUUAUCGUAGCAUCAUCGUUUAUUUAAACGAAUAGAAACUAUCUGACAUUGCCGACGAGUGUGAGAGGUACCUUCAAUAUAGGUCCUUCGACAGAGUUCAGAUUUCGCCAGUCUCCGAAAACGUGAUUGUCAAAGGCCGCCCAUGGUGGGAAAGAUACCAACCUCAUACUGUUCUACGGCUUCGAAUCCCAACUCUCUGACAUAAUUUCCAGAUGUAACAAAGUCGGAAUUAGGUGAAAUUCCAAUUCGGAAUUUCACCACUCGAUGAAUAAAUCAUUUCAGGAUUUAUGCAGAUGUGAUUUUCAACUACAGGGAACCACAGGAAUGGGUACGGCAGAAAAUAAAGCAAUGAGUGAUGUUAAAAUUUAUCCUGGCGUGCCUUACACUCCGUAGGAUUUUCAUCCUACUUGUAAUAUUCCGAAUUAUUUAAAUCCUGAAGUUGUGAGAAACUGCAAACUUAAUAAUCUGAGAGACUUAGACCAAGUAUUAUGUCGUGAUCGGAAAUGAGGGAUACGUAGACCUCGAAAUUGUGUUUGAAUCGUCUAGCAAUAAGUUCGGUCUUCAGUGGCAAAGGCAAUUUAUCAACUUUGCAAAAUUGGGCCCCUGCUUGGGUUUCGUCUUGAAAACUGACUCACUUGUUUUUGUUGACACUCACAGCAGCCAACCGCAACGACCAAGUUUUGACAAAAAUCUGAGACAGAACAAAAUGCCUCUAGCUUUUAUGCUGUCACACUUUUAUGGUUCCCCCAGUUUUAUUUAGAAUUAUUAUUUUUUGACAUUCUCUGAAAAUACUCAUAUCAAAUCUCCAAUUAUUUAUUCUGAUGGUUUUUGUGAGAAUGACUCUGUUUGUGAACACCGGUGGCCUUAAGUGACAAAAAUUAUCGAUUUCAGAAAUGUAGUUUCAGGGACAGAUUGGAAAUUGAUGGUCAAAUAACAAACAAUAGAAUGCGUUUUCUCGAGUGAUUUGUAGCGUUUGCAAAAACUUGACUGAAAAAAUUUAGAUUGGGGUAGCUGCUGGUACUUAUUGUGAUAUCAUUUCUGAAAAUUUGGUCAAUAAGACUUGAUCCGAAAAGAAUUUGGGUGUCGUUAGUAAUAAGGAAGUUGCCACUGUUAGUAGACAAAAAAAAUUGUUGUUGUAGUGAAAAUAAAUCGAUUAAUUUUAUUGUACUUUAUUUGUAAACACAUUUUAUAUAGCUGUAUUGACCUUGUCAAACCAUUAAUAAUUUCAUUUAUUUAAUAAUAAUUUUGUCAUUGAAGCGUCAGUUGAACAGAGAAAUAAUUUAUUUUUUAAUUUAACUCAAACGUUGAUUCUGUAUGUAUAGAACUUCA